rnacentral:lncRNA from 1 species
ACGUUCCACUUAUUCUAUUAUAUGCCUGAAUCACAAUAGUUCAUAUGUAAAUAAAGUGCCUAACAAAGGAAAUGUCCGAAUCAAAGAAACGCAAAUGUAUACCACACUAUCCUGUAUUGCUUCAAUACCAUGAAGGAACUGCUUGGAUACUGGUGACCAUAAUUGUGCAACCAAUAACAGGAAACUAGUACCUGAAAACAUAAAACAAAAACAGCAGCAACUAUUCUAUAAUAUACUAGAUUAUGGAGUGUGCGUCCGAGCGAGAACUACUCUAGUUUAUUACUUUAGAAAUAUUUAUCAAAAGUAUAGGUGGAGGGUU